rnacentral:rRNA from 1 species
GACGAACCGUCCUAACGUUGUUCGGAAUCACUGGGCUUAAAGGGCGCGCAGGCGGCUGCUCAAGUCAGGCGUGAAAGGCCUGGGCUCAACCCGGGAAUUGCGUUUGAGACUGGGCUGGCUUGAGUGCGGGAGAGGAUGGUGGAAUUCCCAGUGUAGAGGUGAAAUGCGUAGAUAUCUGGAGGAACACCGGUGGCGAAGGCGGCGUUCUGGACUGGCAACUGACACUGAUAAACGAAAGCCAGGGGAGCAAACGGG